UACGUAGGGUGCAGGCGUUAAUCGGAAUUACUGGGCGUAAAGCGUGCGCAGGCGGUUUGCUAAGACAGGUGUGAAAUCCCCGGGCUUAACCUGGGAACUGCGCUUGUAACUGGCAAGCUAGAGUGUGGCAGAGGGGGGCGGAAUUCCACGUGUAGCAGUGAAAUGCGUAGAGAUGUGGAGGAACACCGAUGGCGAAGGCAGCCCCCUGGGCUAACACUGACGCUCAUGCACGAAAGCGUGGGGAGCAAACAGG
rnacentral:rRNA from 1 species